GAUGAACGCUGGCGGCGUGCUUAACACAUGCAAGUCGAACGGAAAGGCCAGUGCUUGCACUGUUACUCGAGUGGCGAACGGGUGAGUAACACGUGGGUGAUCUGCCCUGUACUUCGGGAUAAGCUUGGGAAACUGGGUCUAAUACCGGAUAGGACAACUUUUUGGAUAUUGUUGUGGAAAGCUUUUGCGGUAUGGGAUGAGCUCGCGGCCUAUCAGCUUGUUGGUGGGGUAAUGGCCUACCAAGGCGUCGACGGGGAGCCGGCCUGAGAGGGUGUACGGGCACAUUGGGACAGAGAUACGGCCCAGACUCCUACGGGAGGGAGAAGUGGGGAAUAUUGCACAAUAGGCGCAAGCCUGAUGCAGCGACGCCGCGUGGGGGAUGAAGGCCUUCGGGUUGUAAACUCCUUUCGCUAGAGACGAAGAUUUUUUGGUACGGUACCUUGAGAAGAAGCACCGGCUAAAUACGUG
rnacentral:rRNA from 1 species